CCUCCAGGACACCACGGUCAUCUUCACUGUUGAUCUGAAAGAAAACAGACAAAUGAGAUGUCUCAAAAUUACAACUUUAUUCUGUCAGGUCAUUGAAAAUUGCAAGUCAGCACUGUCUGAGAAAAUGGACGUCAUCAGCUUUCAUCUGCUACCUCAGUCUCAAGGGCUCAUCACACAAGGAGGUCACCAUUCAAAUUAAACAAGAGACUGACCCGUCACUGCGAUGAUGGUUUCUAUUCACUGUGACGUAAAGGAAGGUCCAGUGUAUCCUAUGCUGAAGGAUCCAUGGCUCAGGCAACAGGGGACUGUUUCUGCUGCUGGUUGUCAGUGGCCUCCAUGAUUCUUGAAUCGAAGAAGUUUGGGUCAACCGCGACUCUUCCUAGAGCUAGUUGCCAAACUGAGCAAGGAGUCACUCUGAUUGAGCUUCAGAGAUCCUAGUGUGGAGACUGGAGAAACUUUCAGAAGGACAAGCAUCACUUCAGCACUUUGCAGAGCAGGCAGAAGCUCUCCUUCAGAGGGAAUCUGAGAUUGUAAGAUUCACUGGUGUGAUGAAACCAAGAUUUAACUGUUUUGCUUCAGUUCUAGGUGUUUUCACUGGCAGGAACAGGGAUACUGGUCAGAGACAUUCUUAAUGAAUACCUGGUCCAGAGAGCUCAGAACUGAAGACUGGGCUGAAGGUUCAUCCUCCAACAGGACAAUGACCCUACACACUCAGCCAAGGUUGUGAUUGACCGUGCCAUCUAAGAACUGAACCCAGUUCAGCUCUGAUUCCCCACACACAUGUCUGGACCUGUGGGAGGAGAGGAGGGGAGUGUAGUGGAAAACAAAAAUAAAUACGAUUAAAGAAAACAGAGAUUUAAAGAAAAAGGAAGUGAACAGGCUGACAGGGAUCAGUUUUCAUCUUAUCUGAUAAAACAUACUGAUGAGAUGAAGUGACAGGAUGAUCAGAUCUACAGACACACCACCCACAUGUUUCUCAAUCCUCCUCUGACACAUCCAACAACUUUCCUUGAGGAUAUUGGCCUUUUCUCAUCUUUACAAUUGAUUCCCAGAUAAAUGUUACUGAUGCGCUGAUGCAUGUCAAGGUUUUGAGACUCGAGAGAAUAAUCAUUAUGUUUGUACUAGUGCAGCGCCCUUUCAAAUUGUGCCUUUCGGCAGGGACUGAUUGCUUUGCCUGUGUUAAUCCAGCAUGUAACUUUCCUAAGAGCAUCAUUCAAACAUUUUUACAGUUGACAGUGCUCUUCCUUUGGUCCUGACCAAUACACCUACAAAGUUUCAAGUUGAUGGGAUGAGCAGUUGUUGAGAAAAUCGAAAUACAGACGGAGACUCCUCCAUUUAUAGUUAGAUGAGUUUUGGUGCAUACUGUUAGUGAAUCAGUCUUACCUGAUAAUCUCCAGAACUUUCUUUAACAGUGGUGCCAAUUUAGACCCCUGUAGAGAGAAACAAACAUUUAUUCAUAUGUAACUAUUUAUUUACAUAUUUUUAGAAUAUUUAUACAUUUACAUGUUUGGAAAAAUUAUAUGUAUGGCAGCUAAUGCAGACAGGGGGUUGAGAAAGCAUAAAUGUAAUUUAUGUGCAACAACACAGUUCUGUGGUGGUGGUUGUGAGAAGCUAAAACAGCAGCAGUUAAUAUCUGAGCCAGUUGGGCCAGAUUUCUGCAGUGGCCUUGAUUAGGACACAGAGAAAACACACAGAGUUUCUGCUAAUAUUACAUUGAGAGAGAAAAAAAGGCUUGGACCUUUUUAUGAUAUUGUGUGUAUGUUUCAAACUUUGUAAUGACCUCUAUGCUGCCUUGCCUUGUUGCAAAAACAAUUUUGUUAUGUGUGACAAUGACAAUUUCAACUAACGUGAAAGACCUUUGUGUAAGUAUGACUCCCCUUCUCUCAGGAGUACACUCAGACUAACACAGGCCUGAGAACAGUGUGACAUAUUGAUGAGUUAUCAAGAUGUAACUUGCACAUCAAUUCUGGACUCUUGCUUUUGAGAUACGAUUGCUGGUACUGUCACUCUCAUCUCUGCUGCAUUUCUCUCUUUUCAACCCAACCAGUCAAGAUUGACAGCCGCCCACCCUGAGUCCGGUUCUGUCACAGGUUUCUUCUUGUUAAAGGGGCUAUUUUCCUUGGUGAUGUCUGCCAGGUCGUCGAGUUGAGACAGGCUCUGAGGUGUGGUUACGUCACCGUUUGCUUUGGCGGCUGACGUCAGCUUCCUCAUGUACACCGCUGACGCCUUCAUCAACCUCUGGCAUGGACCAAUCAUACAUUGGCCAUUGUCCAACCAGUAUGUGUCCAGGACGUCGCUGAAUGGAUCCUGAACUUCAGAUCAGGCCUGGGUGAGGACCGAGAACGGGACCAGGACAGGGAUGGACAGCUCUGGAGGAGACAGAGGAAGAGAGGGAGAUUUUAAAUCG